CACCACAACAGGUGGAGCCUGCGGUUUAAUCGGACUCAACGCCGGGAAACUCACCAGAUAAGACAGCUGAAUGAUAGUCGGGCUGAAGACUCUACUUGACUAGCUGAGAGGAGGUGCAUGGCCGUCGUCAGUUCGUACUGUGAAGCAUCCUGUUAAAUCAGGCAACGAGCGAGACCCACGCCAACAGUUGCCAGCUCGUCCUCCGGGAUGGUGGGGACACUGUUGGGACCGCCUCUGCUAAAGAGGAGGAAGGAAUGGGCAACGGUAGGUCAGCAUGCCCCGAAUUAUCUGGGCUACACGCGGGCUACAAUGGGUGGGACAAUGGGUAUCGACACCGAAAGGUGAAGGCAAUCUCCUAAACCCAUCCGUAGUUCGGAUUGUGGGCUGCAACUCGCCCACAUGAAGCUGGAAUCUGUAGUAAUCGUGUCUCAAAAUGGCACGGUGAAUAUGUCCCUGCUCCCU
rnacentral:rRNA from 1 species